UGGGUGUGGGGCAGCCACCCUCCCCUCCCUGGGACAGCAGUGCCCUUCCAGUUCUGCUUAUGCCCAGCAGCUCCCACAGCAAGUGUCUGCGUGUCUGUGCAAGGAAGUGACACACAAAUAAGUGCCAUUCAGCAGUUUGAUCCCAGGCAGUGGUUGUGUGUGAAGGGGACUGCACGGCAGGAUGAAGUCCCACGGAGCCCCCUGAGCCCAGCUCUGGGCAGCUGCAGUCCAUCCCCAGAGGGUUUUUUAGCUCUGAAAAGAAACAUGAGAUGCCUUAUGGAAAAGGAUUCCCACCUCAUGACCAGCUGCAGUGAUGAAACCCUCCUGGGACACUCAGGGCAGACCGGGAUGCUUUCAGCAAGAAGCAAUGCUCAUCUGUUGUGCUCACGUGUGAGUGGUGAAGGCCACACUAAUGCCGUGCCAGCCUGUUAUAUUCUGUGAUGCCACCGCUGAUUACACUGAAGAUAUUCUGACUGCUGUCAGUGGAGUGAGAGGUGGACUACGCCUGAAUGCUUGGAAGGACAGUUAAAUGUGAUCUCAAAUCAAAUUCUUAAGGACUUUAUGAGUUCCUUUUAUUUGGG
ensembl:lncRNA